UACGUAGGGGGCUAGCGUUGUCCGGAAUCAUUGGGCGUAAAGAGCGUGUAGGCGGCCCGGUAAGUCCGCUGUGAAAGCCCGAGGCUCAACCUCGGAACUGCCUUCGAUACUGCGGGUCUCGAGUCCGGGAGAGGUGAGUGGAAUUCCUAGUGUAGAGGUGAAAUUCGUAGAUAUUAGGAAGAACACCAGUGGCGAAGGCGGCUCACUGGCCCGGUACUGACGCUGAGGCGCGAAAGCGUGGGGAGCAAACAGG
rnacentral:rRNA from 1 species